CAAUAUUUUCAGCAGAUAGUAGAUUGAUCACAAUUUUAACAAAAAUUAACAUACUUUUCCAAAGAUUAAUAAGAAUUAUCAAAGUUCCAGCUUAAUUUUUGUCAAACACAGCACAAAAAAAUAACAAAACAGAGUACAGCACAGCAGCAGAGUUAAUCAUUCAACAAUUCAAUCUGAGUAGCACUAACAGUAGCAGAAUCCUAAAUCCAAGAACAAAGAACCAAGAAAAAAAAAACGAAAAAACAAAUUUGAGUAGCACUAGCAGAAUCCUGAACCUUCGUUCUCACUUCUGAGCAGAGCAUACAAAAAGAAGAACAAGCACUAGCAGUGAGCACCGACCUUCGAUCUGAGCAGUUGAGCGCGACGGCGAGCAGGAGGGCAACCAGACGACGACCACUGUUAUUCCUUCUUCUCCACUUCACCACUGAUGACUCACGAGUCACGAGUCACAAGCCAGCUUCCAAGGGCGGAGACCAAACAGACAUAUCGUUCAGAAGACGACGGCGGGGGAAGAGAAGCAAGGGGGCAGAGCUUCAAUCCGCGAAGAGAAAGGGAUUCAAUCACUUGGGCGGCGGAAGCGCGGGUGAGCAGAUGAAGCUAGAUGGAUGGACGGCGGCAAUAUGCCACUGCUUGCGGCGGUGGUGAUGGCUAGGAUCUUUUUGGCUUUUCCUUAUGAAUGAAAGAAAGGGAAAGAUUUGCUGUGCUGAGUGACACUGACGAAGGAGGGGUUGGGUUUGGGGGAAGAGGGC
rnacentral:lncRNA from 1 species